rfam:Ancylostoma duodenale strain Zhejiang A_duodenale-1.0_Cont33522.1, whole genome shotgun sequence.
GGUUUUAACCCAGUAUCACAAGGUACUACGGGGAUUCUGACCUGCCAGGUGUGGCUGCGUCAAAAACCUCAAUUUUUGGACAGCCUUUCCGGGGAUAUCCGGGAGGGCAAA